rnacentral:rRNA from 1 species
UGGUAGCUUGCUACCAGACUGAGUGGCAGACGGGUGAGUAACACGUGGGUAUCUACCUAUUGGUGGGGAAUAACUCUUGGAAACGAGAGCUAAUACCGCAUAAGCCCUGAGGGGGAAAGAUUUAUCGCCAAUAGAAGAGCCCGCGUUACAUUAGCUAGUUGGUAGGGUAAUGGCCUACCGGGGCAACGAUCUAUAGCUGGUCUGAGAGGAUGAUCAGCCACACUGGGACUGAGACACGGCCCACACUCCUACGGGAGGCAGCAGUGGGGAAUAUUGGACAAUGGGGGCAACCCUGAUCCAGCGAUGCCGCGUGAGUGAAGAAGGCCUUAGGGUUGUAAAGCUCUUUCGGUGGGGAAGAUGAUGACGGUACCCACAAAAGAAGUACCGGCUAACUCUGUGCCAGCAGCCGCGGUAAUACAGAGGGUACAAGCGUUGUUCGGAAUUAUUGGGCGUAAAGCGCGCGUAGGCGGUCUAGAUAGUCAGAUGUGAAAGCCCUGGGCUCAACCCAGGAAUUGCGUUUGAUACUGUUAGGCUAGAGACUUAGAGAGGUGAGUGGAAUUCCUAGUGUAGAGGUGAAAUUCGUAGAUAUUAGGAGGAACACCAGUGGCGAAAGCGACUCACUGGCUAAGCACUGACGCUAAGGCGCGAAAGCGUGGGGAGCAAACAGGAUUAGAUACCCUGGUAGUCCACGCCAUAAACGAUGAAUGCUAGAUGUCGGGUCUUUCGGGGCUCGGUGUCGUCGCUAACGCAUUAAGCAUUCCGCCUGAGGAAUACGGUCGCAAGACUAAAACUUAAAGGAAU